UACGUAGGGGGCAAGCGUUGUCCGGAUUUAUUGGGCGUAAAGAGCUCGUAGGCGGUUCGGUAAGUCGGAUGUGAAAUCUCCAGGCUCAACCUGGAGGGGUCAUUCGAUACUGCCGUGACUAGAGGUCGGUAGGGGAGUGUGGAAUUCCUGGUGGAGCGGUGAAAUGCGCAGAUAUCAGGAGGAACACCCGUAGCGAAGGCGGCACUCUGGGCCGAUACUGACACUGAGGAGCGAAAGCGUGGGGAGCGAACAGG
rnacentral:rRNA from 1 species